CUUUUCAUUUUAAUUAGGUUUAUUUUUGUUUCGACAGCCAGUGCAUCCUACCUCGGGGAUCCUCGCUGUGUUCGUUGCUCUCAACUACUGUGAUGUGGUCCACAUUGCUGGUUUUGGAUACCCUAACACAAAGAGCCAAAGGCACCCUAUCCAUUACUACGGAUAUGACACCAUGAAGUCAAUGAAGAAUUCUUACCACGAUCUCAAUCAUGAAGCCGAUGCCUUAAAAAGACUGGAGGAUUCGGGUGCCAUUUUGUACCUGCACCCACAUCUAUGAUACACAUACCUUUUUCGAGUUUGAUUGAAUCCAAAAAUGUGACCGAACACCAAAACUUAUUUGCAUUUGGAUGGGUCAACCCACUCAGAUUCUAAUGUGCCUUUUUUGCUGUGGGAUACAAGACAUUUUUUACAUGUACUAAGUCAUCAUUAGGUGGCAAAAGUGUAAAAAUGUCGAGCUCAAAAGAAUGUUUAUAUCCCUGGCGCCUUAAAUUCUCUCAAACUAAGACACAUGAAAUGUGACUUUAUAAUGGUUUUCCUUCAAUUUGGUGACAUGGCUUAGCAUCUUGCAUUAUGUUUUAUGAUUGUAAUUCAACCUGGAUUUGAAUCGCACCAUUCAAAGUGAGUACGCAGGAGAACUAUUCAAAGUUGUCCUGCUUGUGCAAAGAGAAAUUACGCCUGAUUUAGAUUGGAUAAUCACUGUGCUUUGAUUGAGCUUUUAAGACCAUUUGAUACUGUGGGCUUCUAAUUUCCACGGACACAAGCGUUUUCGAUCUGCAGUUUACAUAUUUGUUGUUGUUUGCAAAGAUUAAUGCAUAUCAGUGAGUUCCAAACUAAUCAGACCGGUUUUUCAUUGUACACACUCACUGUGGUUUAGGAUUCAAUCUAAAAAAACAGCAUCUGUUUUAUGUUAAAGAGGUGUGUACAAAUCUACAGAAUUUCACUUUUGUUGUUAGUUUAAUUGAAAUGAAAAUGAAUUGACCCCAAGCCUGAUUUAAACAGGAUUUAAUUAAUCUUAUUUUUUGUAAUUCUUGGACUGGAAAUACUACUUGUAUUUUGCCGAUUUGGUAGCUUUUUGAUUGCAGGUGUCUGGGGCUUUAAGUUAUUCUAUCCUUUUUUGUGUUGCUUUUUUGUAGAAACAAAACCAAUAAAUGGUACCACUGGA